CCUACGGGAGGCAGCAGUGAGGAAUAUUGGUCAAUGGCCGGAAGGCUGAACCAGCCAAGCCGCGUGCGGGAGGACGGCGCAGAGCGUCGUAGACCUCUUUUGCCGGGGGACAAAAGGCCGGACUCGUCCGGUGCUGAGUGUACCCGGAGAAAAAGCACAGGCUCAAUCCGUGCCAGCAGCCGCGGUAAGACGGGGGAUGGGAGCGUUAUCCGGAUUCUUUGGGUUUAAAGGGUGCGCAGGCGGGCCAUUACGCCGGCGGUGAACACGCGGGGCUCAACCCCGCCGAGCCGUUGAAACUGGUGGCCUUGAGUGCGGCAGAGGCAUGCGGAAUGCGUGGUGUAGCGGGGAAAUGCAUAGAUAUCGCGCAGAACCCCGAUUGCGAAGGCAGCGUGCCGGGCCGCCACUGACGCUGAGGCACGAAAGCGUGGGGAUCGAACAGGAUUAGAUACCCCAGUAGUC
rnacentral:rRNA from 1 species